AGUCGAACGGCAGCGCGAGAGAGCUUGCUCUCUUGGCGGCGAGUGGCGGACGGGUGAGUAAUAUAUCGGAACGUGCCCAGUAGCGGGGGAUAACUACUCGAAAGAGUGGCUAAUACCGCAUACGCCCUACGGGGGAAAGGGGGGGAUCGCAAGACCUCUCACUAUUGGAGCGGCCGAUAUCGGAUUAGCUAGUUGGUGGGGUAAAGGCUCACCAAGGCAACGAUCCGUAGCUGGUUUGAGAGGACGACCAGCCACACUGGGACUGAGACACGGCCCAGACUCAUACGGGAGGCAGCAGUGGGGAAUUUUGGACAAUGGGGGAAACCCUGAUCCAGCCAUCCCGCGUGUAUGAUGAAGGCCUUCGGGUUGUAAAGUACUUUUGGCAGAGAAAGAAAAGGUAUCCCCUAAUACGGGAUACUGCUGACGGUAUCUGCAGAAUAAGCACCGGCUAAACUACGUGCCAGCAGCCGCGGUAAUACGUAGGGUGCAAGCGUUAAUCGGAAUUACUGGGCGUAAAAGCGUGUGUAGGCGGUUCGGAAAGAAAGAUGUGAAAUCCCAGGGCUCAACCUUGGAACUGCAUUUUUAACUGCCGAGCUAGAGUAUGUCAGAGGGGGGUAGAAUUCCACGUGUAGCAGUGAAAUGCGUAGAUAUGUGGAGGAAUACCGAUGGCGAAAGCAGCCCCCUGGGAUGAUACUGACGCUCAGACACGAAAGCGUGGGGAGCAAACAGGAUUAGAUACCCUGGUAGUCCACGCCCUAAACGAUGUCAACUAGCUGUUGGGGCCGUUAGGCCUUAGUAGCGCAGCUAACGCGUGAAGUUGACCGCCUGGGGAGUACGGUCGCAAGAUUAAAACUCAAAGGAAUUGACGGGGACCCGCACAAGCGGUGGAUGAUGUGGAUUAAUUCGAUGCAACGCGAAAAACCUUACCUACCCUUGACAUGUCUGGAAAGCCGAAGAGAUUUGGCCGUGCUCGCAAGAGAACCGGAACACAGGUGCUGCAUGGCUGUCGUCAGCUCGUGUCGUGAGAUGUUGGGUUAAGUCCCGCAACGAGCGCAACCCUUGUCAUUAGUUGCUACGCAAGAGCACUCUAAUGAGACUGCCGGUGACAAACCGGAGGAAGGUGGGGAUGACGUCAAGUCCUCAUGGCCCUUAUGGGUAGGGCUUCACACGUCAUACAAUGGUCGGGACAGAGGGUCGCCAACCCGCGAGGGGGAGCCAAUCUCAGAAACCCGAUCGUAGUCCGGAUCGCAGUCUGCAACUCGACUGCGUGAAGUCGGAAUCGCUAGUAAUCGCGGAUCAGAAUGUCGCGGUGAAUACGUUCCCGGGUCUUGUACACACCGCCCGUCACACCAUGGGAGUGGGUUUCACCAGAAGUAGGUAGCCUAACCGCAAGGAGGGCGCUUACCACGGUGGGAUUCAUGACUGGGGUGAAGUCGUAAC
rnacentral:rRNA from 1 species